rnacentral:rRNA from 1 species
CGUAGGGCGCAAGCGUUAUCCGGAAUUAUUGGGCGUAAAGAGCUCGUAGGCGGUUUGUCGCGUCUGCUGUGAAAUCCCGAGGCUCAACCUCGGGCCUGCAGUGGGUACGGGCAGACUAGAGUGCGGUAGGGGAGAUUGGAAUUCCUGGUGUAGCGGUGGAAUGCGCAGAUAUCAGGAGGAACACCGAUGGCGAAGGCAGAUCUCUGGGCCGUAACUGACGCUGAGGAGCGAAAGGGUGGGGAGCAAACAGGCUUAGAUACCCUGGUAGUCCACCCCGUAAACGUUGGGAACUAGUUGUGGGGUCCUUUCCACGGAUUCCGUGACGCAGCUAACGCAUUAAGUUCCCCGCCUGGGGAGUACGGCCGCAAGGCUA